rnacentral:rRNA from 1 species
GGAAUUUUGGACAAUGGGGGCAACCCUGAUCCAGCAAUGCCGCGUGUGUGAAGAAGGCCUUCGGGUUGUAAAGCACUUUUGGCGGGAACGAAACGGUUCGGGCUAAUAUCCCGGACUAAUGACGGUACCCGCAGAAUAAGCACCGGCUAACUACGUGCCAGCAGCCGCGGUAAUACGUAGGGUGCAAGCGUUAAUCGGAAUUACUGGGCGUAAAGCGUGCGCAGGCGGUUUGGUAAGACAGAUGUGAAAUCCCCGGGCUUAACCUGGGAAUUGCAUUUGUGACUGCCCGGCUAGAGUGUGUCAGAGGGGGGUAGAAUUCCACGUGUAGCAGUGAAAUGCGUAGAUAUGUGGAGGAAUACCGAUGGCGAAGGCAGCCCCCUGGGAUAACACUGACGCUCAUGCACGAAAGCGUGGGGAGCAAAC